UACGGAGGGUGCGAGCGUUAUCCGGAAUUACUGGGUUUAAAGGGUGCGUAGGUGGCGCUGUAAGUCGGGUGUGAAAUUUCGGAGCUUAACUCCGAAACUGCAUUCGAUACUGCGGAGCUUGAGGACUGGAGAGGAGACUGGAAUUCAUGGUGUAGCAGUGAAAUGCGUAGAGAUCAUGAGGAAGACCAGUGGCGAAGGCGGGUCUCUGGGCAUUAACUGACGCUGAGGAGCGAAAGCAUGGGGAGCGAACAGG
rnacentral:rRNA from 1 species